GAAUAGCUCAGUUGGUUAGAGCGUGGUGCUGAGAACACCAAGGUCGCAGGUUUGAUCCCUGUAUGGGACA
rnacentral:tRNA from 1 species